GACGAACGCUGGCGGCGUGCUUAACACAUGCAAGUCGCACGGUGACGCUCUCUUUUUUUUUGUGUGUGUGGAUGUGUGGAGAGCGGGUGUGUAACACGAGUGUAACCUGCCCCCUUCCUCGGUAUCAGCGCAAGAAAGUGUCGCUAACGCGGUAUUCUCGGGGUCUCUCGCAUUAUGGCUGGGGAAGAGAUUUUUUUUCUGGGGGGGGGGCUCGCGGCCUAUCAGCUUGUUGGUGGGGUGAUGGCCUACCAAGGCGGUGACGGGUAGCCGGCCUGUGAGGGUGGACGGUCACACUGGGACUGAGACACGGCCCAGACUCCUACGGGAGGCAGCAGUGGGGAAUAUUGCACAAUGGGCGCAAGCCUGAUGCAGCGACGCCGCGUGAGGGAUGGAGGCCUUCGGGUUGUGAACCUCUUUCGCCAGUGAAGCAGGCCUGCCUCGUUUGUGGGUGGGUUGACGGUAGCUGGAUAAGAAGCGCCGGCUAACUACGUG
rnacentral:rRNA from 1 species